UUAGCCCCUCGAGGUAAGCUAAAUAAUAAUAUGCUUGUGUUACGAGUGGGCUCACCACAAUAGUCGAGCGGCGCCGGCGGGGUUCGAACCCGCGUUCCUCGGAUUUCGAGACGGCCAGUCCUUUAUAUUUUUAUUUUAGACAACAUUAUAAUAUGUAACGUAACGUAUAUAAUAUAUAACGUAACAUUUGCAUAAUAACUAUACAUGUAUGAUAUUAUAAAAUAUUCCUAAGUAAUUACUGACUAAUGCUAAAUUAUAGUAAAGAAAAAUAUUAACAUUAAUUUUAACUUUUAGCCCAUUGUUACGUCCGUGACGACUACAAUUUUACCACCUGAAGACAUUGCUAUGGAGAUAGAAAUAGAAAACACAAUGCCCGAUGCUGCAUCCAUGACAGAUGACGUGUCAGUUUUACCACCUGAAGUUGCUAUGGAAAUAGAAAUAGAAAAAAACAUGACUCCAAAGAUAACUCCUCGUAAGAAAAAAAUAAUUAAGAAAUUGGAAAAAACAACAGCUGUUGGAGAAAAAAGAAAGAAGAAAUUAGCAGCUUUGCGAUCCAAAACCUGGCGUUUGCAGAAGAAAACGGCUGAAAUGUGUACAGUCAUACAGGAAUUAAAAACGCGUUCAUUGAUUAAUCAAGAGAGUGCAGAUUUAUUGUCUUCAAUAGAUGUUGUAAAUAGAGAUUUCUUGAAAAAGUUCUUAUGUAAAGAUAGUACUGCCAGAAAGUAUACUCCAGAGCUGCGGAAAUUCGCUUUAACUCUCCAUUAUAUAAGUCCAAAAGCUUACAAUUUUGUUCGGAAACAGUUCAACACCUGUUUGCCCCAUACGCGUACAUUGUCGCGAUGGUACCAGUGCGUUGAUGGGGAUCCUGGUUUUUCAUCUGAGUCUAUUAAAGCGGUAAAAAUAUUACAUGAAAUAAAUAAAAAUAAAAACCCGUUACAUAAAACUUUAUGUGCCUUAAGCUUUGAUGAGAUGGCAAUUAGGAAAGGGGUUAAUUUUGAUGGAAAUAACUGCAUAGGUUUUGUAAAUUUCGGGAAUGGAGUUGUAAGCGAUAAUGACCAGCUAGCCAAAGAUGCACUAGUUUUCAUGCUUACAUGCAUGAACGGAUCAUGGAAGAUACCAUUAGGAUAUUUUUUGAUAAACGGUAUAAGUGCUGAACAGAAAGCAGGUUUAAUAAAAGUUUGCAUUGAGACAUUAAGUCAAGACUGUGGGGUUGAUAUACUCUCAGUAACUUUUGAUGGUUGCGCCGCAAAUUUGUCGAUGGCAAAAAUUUUAGGGUGCAAAUUAGACAGCACCGACUUAAUUGACCCUACUUUUACUGUGGGCAACCAUAAAAUCGUAAUAUUCCCAGAUCCCUCGCACAUGCUCAAGUUAGUGAGAAAUACGCUAGGUGAAAAGGGGCCAAUCAUUGAUCCGCACGGCCGUGUUAUAUCCUGGGAGUAUGUAAGAUCACUUGUAGAACUUCAGGACAACGAAGGAUUACACUUGGGUAACAAAUUAAAUAAAUCUCAUAUCAAUUUCGUUAAACAAGUAAUGAAGGUGAAGCUGGCAGCUCAAGUCAUGAGUGAAUCCGUCGCAAAUGCGAUUGAGUUUUGCGAUACAGAGUUGAAUAUCACCACUUUUAAGAAUUCUGCAGGGACUGUUGAGUUUAUUCGAAAAAUGAAUAAUUUAUUUGAUGUGUUGAAUUCUAGAAAUCUUAAAGCAUAUACUUACAAAAAACCAUUAUCUCAGAAAAGUUUUCCCGA